rnacentral:rRNA from 1 species
ACGUAUUUAACAUUGAAAACAUCGGUACUCGUCCGAUCACCGAAGCAAUGUCGGGCUCGGUCAGUACUUGGGAGGGUGACCACCUGGGAACACCGGGUGCUGUAAGCU